GAUGAACGCUGGCGGCGUGCCUAAUACAUGCAAGUCGAGCGAACAGAUAAGGAGCUUGCUCCUUUGACGUUAGCGGCGGACGGGUGAGUAACACGUGGGUAACCUACCUAUAAGACUGGAAUAACUCCGGGAAACCGGGGCUAAUGCCGGAUAACAUUUAGAACCGCAUGAUUCUAAAGUGAAAGAUGGUUUUGCUAUCACUUAUAGAUGGACCCGCGCCGUAUUAGCUAGUUGGUAAGGUAACGGCUUACCAAGGCAACGAUACGUAGCCGACCUGAGAGGGUGAUCGGCCACACUGGAACUGAGACACGGUCCAGACUCCUACGGGAGGCAGCAGUAGGGAAUCUUCCGCAAUGGGCGAAAGCCUGACGGAGCAACGCCGCGUGAGUGAUGAAGGUCUUCGGAUCGUAAAACUCUGUUAUUAGGGAAGAACAAAUGUGUAAGUAACUGUGCACGUCUUGACGGUACCUAAUCAGAAAGCCACGGCUAACUACGUG
rnacentral:rRNA from 1 species